AUGCUUGCUUAGGCAGCAUGUAUGCUAAAAAUUGGAAGCAUACAGAGAUUAGCAUGGCCUCUGCGCAAGGAUGAUAUGCAAAUGCAUGAAGCCUUCCAUGUUAAU
ensembl:snRNA U6 U6 spliceosomal RNA